GAUGAACGCUGGCGGCGUGCUUAACACAUGCAAGUCGAGCGAGAAGUUUUGAAAAGAUUCUUCGGAUGAAAUUUAAAAUGGAAAGCGGCGGACGGGUGAGUAACGCGUAGGCAACCUGCCCCAUACAAAGGGAUAGCAUUUGGAAACGAAUAUUAAUACCUUAUGAAACUUAACUAGUGCAUGCUAGGUAGGUCAAAGAUUUAUCGGUAUGGGAUGGGCCUGCGUCUGAUUAGCUAGUUGGUGAGGUAACGGCUCACCAAGGCGACGAUCAGUAGCCGACCUGAGAGGGUGAACGGCCACAUUGGAACUGAGACACGGUCCAAACUCCUACGGGAGACAGCAGUGGGGAAUAUUGCACAAUGGGGGAAACCCUGAUGCAGCAGCGCCGCGUGAACGAUGAAGGCCUUUGGGUCGUAAAGUUCUGUUCUAGGUGAUGAAAACUGACAGUAACCUAGGAGAAAGCCCCGGCUAACUCCGUG
rnacentral:rRNA from 1 species